UACGAAGGGGGCUAGCGUUGCUCGGAAUCACUGGGCGUAAAGGGUGCGUAGGCGGGUCUUUAAGUCAGGGGUGAAAUCCUGGAGCUCAACUCCAGAACUGCCUUUGAUACUGAAGAUCUUGAGUUCGGGAGAGGUGAGUGGAACUGCGAGUGUAGAGGUGAAAUUCGUAGAUAUUCGCAAGAACACCAGUGGCGAAGGCGGCUCACUGGCCCGAUACUGACGCUGAGGCACGAAAGCGUGGGGCGCAAGCAGG
rnacentral:rRNA from 1 species